AGUGUUUCUCGGCCUUUGGCUAAGAUCAAGUGUAGCAUCUAUUCUUAUCAGUUUAAUGUCUAAUACAUCCUCUAUCUAAGGACAAUAUAUUAAGUGGAUUUUUGAAGCUAGGAUUUGCAAUGGGAGCUUGUUUUGCCCAUUCCAUGGAUUGACCUGGUAUUGCAGUACCUCUAAGAAUGGUGGAGAAAAU